UUUGAAAGACCCAAAAAUCCUCCAAAUUAGACAGUAAAUGACAUAAAUGAGCAGCUAUAAAUGGUCCGCUACACUAGGGUUGUUGGCUUUCAAUGUGAACUGACUUAGUUGUUUACCCUCUAAAAUGUACUUUGUGUGCUUCCAUUUUAACGUUGGAGCUUUCUUCGGUGGGGAGAGAAUAAUCUGGACUUUGAAGGACCAGGUUAUAAACUCAAAUAAUCAAAAAUACAUAGGUUGGUUCACAAAUAAAACAAAGUAAUGGUUGGGAGGAAUUUGAAAACGGUUUAGAAUUUCUUAUUACAAAAAAGCACCAAAAUCUAUUAUUAGGUAGGCUUAAGUUGGAUUGGAGUCACUGGUAAGCUUCGUUUGGAACCAUAGAAGGAGACGGCGCACCACGGUGGAGGAGAUCGAGUGAUUGAACUCCAAAAUCCUAAUCAGAAUUUUUCGAUUCCAAUGGAGGAGAAACACCGCCGAUGCCGCAUCUCCAACUCCUUCCACCACCACCGACUCACCCGCAUCUGAGCCUACCUCAACGUGCCACCGUGCCGGAGCUCUGAAGCGCAAGGCCAGCUCCCUCUCACUAUAGCGCGUCAAAUGCACGCGGUGGCAUUGCUGCGUCGUCUUCCCCAGCAAGUUCUGCUUUUGCUCCGGCGGAUGUGAAGCACUCAGAGCACAGUUUGGGCGUGGACUCAGUGCCGCUGGCUGAGGAGAUCUGAGAGAAGAGCAAAACAGAGAGAUUCAGAAAGGAUAGAGAGCUCGCCUCGCCGUCGUCGUUGCCGUCGCCACCACAGUUCAUCGCCUCUCCAGAUCUGGUCGCAACACCCAAGCCUCUGAGGAUGUUCCAUUACGAUCUCCUCAACGAGACACAGAACAAGCUCGAUUACAUCCUCUCUCUCUCUCUCACUGUCGAGAACUUCCUCGGGCGCCGCCUCCAUAUUCUCGUCUUCAAGUCCGGCAUGGCCAAGUCCAUCCAUCAGUGCAUAUUAGGGCAUAGAAGAAGCUCUCAACUGUUGGAUUGUGGGAGAGUAAAAAGAAAGCCUCGGUGGAGGCACAACUCAAGAUAAUUGAGGAAAACUUGAAAAGAAAGAAAGCAGAAUAUGCAGAAAAUAUGAAGAAUAAGAUAGCUGAUAUUCAUAGGUCAGCAGAAGAGAAAAAGGCAAUGGUUGAAGCUCAAAAGAAGGAAGAGUUUAUCGAGUUAGAGAAAACAGCUGCAAAAUUUUGUAGUAGUGGUCCUACACCAGCCAAAUUCUUUGCAUGUUUUAAAAGCAUAAGUUUUCUUCUUUUUUUUUUUUCUAUUUAGCUAACUACAAAAAGAUCAGAACAUCAUUGGUGUGGUUAUUACUUGUUAAUAUUCAUUUAAAAAUUUGCUUUGAAGUGUUGUAUUUUUCUCUUGGUGUAUAUACUAUUAUAUCAUUGAUAUGAAC